ACUUAAAUUGAAGAGUUUGAUCAUGGCUCAGAUUGAACGCUGGCGGCAGGCCUAACACAUGCAAGUCGAGCGGUAGCACAGAGAGCUUGCUCUCGGGUGACGAGCGGCGGACGGGUGAGUAAUGUCUGGGAAACUGCCUGAUGGAGGGGGAUAACUACUGGAAACGGUAGCUAAUACCGCAUAACGUCGCAAGACCAAAGUGGGGGACCUUCGGGCCUCAUGCCAUCAGAUGUGCCCAGAUGGGAUUAGCUAGUAGGUGGGGUAACGGCUCACCUAGGCGACGAUCCCUAGCUGGUCUGAGAGGAUGACCAGCCACACUGGAACUGAGACACGGUCCAGACUCCUACGGGAGGCAGCAGUGGGGAAUAUUGCACAAUGGGCGCAAGCCUGAUGCAGCCAUGCCGCGUGUGUGAAGAAGGCCUUCGGGUUGUAAAGCACUUUCAGCGGGGAGGAAGGCGAUAAGGUUAAUAACCUUGUCGAUUGACGUUACCCGCAGAAGAAGCACCGGCUAACUCCGUGCCAGCAGCCGCGGUAAUACGGAGGGUGCAAGCGUUAAUCGGAAUUACUGGGCGUAAAGCGCACGCAGGCGGUCUGUCAAGUCGGAUGUGAAAUCCCCGGGCUUAACCUGGGAACUGCAUUCGAAACUGGCAGGCUAGAGUCUUGUAGAGGGGGGUAGAAUUCCAGGUGUAGCGGUGAAAUGCGUAGAGAUCUGGAGGAAUACCGGUGGCGAAGGCGGCCCCCUGGACAAAGACUGACGCUCAGGUGCGAAAGCGUGGGGAGCAAACAGGAUUAGAUACCCUGGUAGUCCACGCCGUAAACGAUGUCGAUUUGGAGGUUGUGCCCUUGAGGCGUGGCUUCCGGAGCUAACGCGUUAAAUCGACCGCCUGGGGAGUACGGCCGCAAGGUUAAAACUCAAAUGAAUUGACGGGGGCCCGCACAAGCGGUGGAGCAUGUGGUUUAAUUCGAUGCAACGCGAAGAACCUUACCUGGUCUUGACAUCCACAGAACUUUCCAGAGAUGGAUUGGUGCCUUCGGGAACUGUGAGACAGGUGCUGCAUGGCUGUCGUCAGCUCGUGUUGUGAAAUGUUGGGUUAAGUCCCGCAACGAGCGCAACCCUUAUCCUUUGUUGCCAGCGGU
rnacentral:rRNA from 1 species